rnacentral:rRNA from 1 species
AUUGAACGCUGGCGGCAGGCCUAACACAUGCAAGUCGAGCGGAUGAAGGGAGCUUGCUCCUGGAUUCAGCGGCGGACGGGUGAGUAAUGCCUAGGAAUCUGCCUGGUAGUGGGGGAUAACGUCCGGACACGGGCGCUAAUACCGCAUACGUCCUGAGGGAGAAAGUGGGGGAUCUUCGGACCUCACGCUAUCAGAUGAGCCUAGGUCGGAUUAGCUAGUUGGUGGGGUAAAGGCCUACCAAGGCGACGAUCCGUAACUGGUCUGAGAGGAUGAUCAGUCACACUGGAACUGAGACACGGUCCAGACUCCUACGAGAGGCAGCAGUGGGGAAUAUUGGACAAUGGGCGAAAGCCUGAUCCAGCCAUGCCGCGUGUGUGAAGAAGGUCUUCGGAUUGUAAAGCACUUUAAGUUGGGAGGAAGGGCAGUAAGUUAAUACCUUGCUGUUUUGACGUUACCAACAGAAUAAGCACCGGCUAACUUCGUG